rnacentral:tRNA from 1 species
GCAUCUGUAGCUCAACUGGAUAGAGCGUCUGACUUCGGAUCAGAAGGUUAUGGGUUCAAGUCCUAUCAGGUGCG